GGUGGUGGAACUGUUCAAGAGGCUGGAAAAGGAGGUCCACCUGAGAGCUCUGAGGAAAGCCCUCCGCAGCCCCUAGCCCACCUCACCCUCAUCAUGCAUGAGGGUCUUUCUCUGCAGCAGAGCCGUAUUGCGGUCCUGGUGACCAACCUCAGUGGCCCCAACCUUCAGUGGCUUGUGGAGGCUGCCUGCUGUCUCUACGAGCUGUCCCACUCCCUCCACACCCUACCUGAUCAUCUUCCUGUCUGGACAGAGGCCCAAAUUCAGUCAGUCCCACAGUUCUGUCAAUGGAGUGGACCCACCUGCCAUUGUCUCUCCCAGCUCGUCUCAGCGAACCACGCAGCAGGGAGAAUCAUCCCGUAAGUUAACAUUAUGGCCUUAGCUUGGUGAUAAUAAUAUACUAUAUUGUAGAAACGUCAUUAGACACCUUUCAGAGAUGCCAUUGAGAGAUCCAUUCAUAGUCAGUAUUAUGCUCUCCUGUCAGACAGACAGACAGACAGACUGCCACUGUCUGUCUGUCUGUCUGUAAUAUGUAGGGGAAAGGGUUCCAUUUGGGGACACACACUAUAACCUGGGUGUUUUUAUUUUUAAAAUGUACCUUUAUUUAACCAGGCAAGUCAGUUAAGAACAAAUUCUUAUUUUCAAUGACGGCCUAGGAACAGUGGGUUAACUGCCUUGUUCAGGGGCAGAACAACAUAUUUUGACCUUGUCAGCUCGGGGAUUCGAUCAGUUACAAGACCAACGCUCUAACCACUAGGCUACCUAACGUCCCUGGGUGACGUUACAACCUGCCGGUGUAACAUGUCACCCAGGAGGACCAGCUACUAUGUAUUGUUGCCAUGGAUAUAGUACUAUUAUACAGGAUGUGGUGGCACUGCGUGAUUCACAGUCUGUUUGUUGCUCAAUAGCAACGUGUACAAAAUGGCGCCGACAGAGAGGGCCGUCUCGCUUCUAGUCCUUAGGAACUUUGCUGUAUUUUGUUUUUUUAUGUAUUAUUUCUUAGAUAGUUAGCCCAGAAAAUCUUGUGUUAUUACUUUUUCAAAUAUUACAAGUAUUUCACUAAACUCGCAAUAACAUCUGCUAACCAUGUGUAUGUGACCAAUAAAAUGUUAUUUGACUUGGUGGCCCAAUGGACUCUUCUACAGUGCACUUCCCUCCUGCUGACACUUGGUGGUGGUGUUGCUAAAGGGAGUAUAGAGGAGAGAAUGGAGCUGUUGAUCUGGCCCCUGCUGCCCUGGGUGGGGAACCUGCUGUUAUCUGGGCCCCUAGGGGUCCUGCAGACCCAACUAAACGAUAGCCGUCUCCUGGAUGCUCUGUGUGCGUUUGCUCAGGUCUUCCUCCAGACCCACCUAGACCUGUCCAGAGAGAGGGUCUGGGUCCUCAACAACCACACAGUUGGGGGAGGAGUUUGUGAGGCAGAGUGGGCUCCCCCUGCUGGAAGCCACCCAGUAUAACAGCCAGGAUAAUUUACACCUCAGAGCAACACACCUGCUGGAACAUCCCCUGCCCCCACGGUGAGGACUCUUGCCCUAACACAGGCUGUGUUUGUGUGUAUGUCCAGACUUUUAAGAGUGCUUUGUUCUGUUGUUAAAGCUGGAAACCUCUUCAUCCCCAUGAGGAACCUGCAGAACAGGAGUGCCACAAAAAAAGACUUCCAAAUGUUUUAACAAGGUUUAGUCAGAAGACCUACCAUGUACAUUUAAAAUGUUUUUAUGAAAUGAUGUGAUGUAUAAAUGUUUUUAUGAAAUGAUGUGAUGUUCAAAUGUUUUUUCAAUAAUAUGAUGUGCUGGAUAUCUGUACAGUAAAACAAUCAGAUGUUAUUUUUAUACUGUUUUUAUAAAAUGCAAAAUUCUAAUAACAGAAUGUGAUUUGUCUUAAGAACCUCUUGAUUUCAAUAGAUAGCAGAUGUGUUUUGACCGGUAGCCUAGGAGUUAACAACUGUCGAUGUGCGCUUGAGCAAGGCACCUAACCCCAAUUGCUUCUGUAAGUCACUCUGGAUAAGAGGGUCUCCUCAAUGACUCAAAUGUAAAUUAAUUGUUUUGUUUUUGGAGAAACGGGAAAAAGUAUCUGCAGUCAGACGCAAAUGUAUUUUAAUAGAGGCUAAGCUUUUGAUCAGUCCACCUUCAUCAGAGCAUAUUAAAAGGUGUGUGUGCGCGAGAUUGACCCUGUAACCUCUUCCCCAGGCUAAUUGUGCAUAGCCAGGAAGUGUCCGGUGAACGAGGUUAGUGACUCAACAACAGUAUGUUGUACACCAUGUUUCCAUCAGUCAUCAGGUUUUAUAAAGGUUGAUUACCUCUGAUAACAUUACCUUUGUCUGGGUUGUGUGUUUCAGAAAAUCUAAGAGGCCAGCCCUUGACCAUCCCAGUGGUCAGAUAGCCAGAGAGGCUGGCUGGUACAAUGUGUGUGUGGAAUAGUGAGACCGACUGAUAGUGUCGGAUAGUUAAAACGUGCUCCAUACCUGUCCUAUACCUGCAUGACACCUGAUAAGGUAUGGGAACGUCCCUUAGUCGACACUCACCUGUAGAGCCUGUCAGCUGGUGCAGAGGUACAGCCUGGCUCCUUAGAUCCCCUGCCAAUCAACGCCCGUCCUAGAGACCUGCAAUCUACUCCGUCUGUUUACAUUGGCAAAGUUCAGACAAAAAGGCCAACGAUAACAGGGUUGAAAAGGGUAGACUAUAAUAUCUGUGAUUGACCUAUUUUCUUUCAGAGAGUCAAGUUGUUUUGAAUUUCAAUUAAAGAAAAAGUUUGAAUGUUGGGAAAACGGUCAACCAAGUGAAAAAUGGAUGCCCAUUUGCAGACUACCCCAAGAAGUAUGUGUUAUCAAAAUAGAACAACAGGUUGGCAUCCCUGUGAUCUCCAAGGUCAAUGGAAGUACUGGGCUCUCGAAAUGUGUUGGUUUUUACAAAGUCAAUAUCGGUCAGCGUACUAGUAAUAUUGCCACUUAAAUGUAUUAGGCUCACAUGGGCCUUUUACAUGAUAUUCCUUUUUACAAGAUAUUACAUAGAAAACAGACAUGUUUUAUAGCAUGUCAUCUGUUAUGUUUUUACUUGUACUCUUCUUCUCUGCUAUCUGCACUUCUCUUCUUUCUGACCCCUCCCUCCUCUGACCCCUUCCUCUCUGACCCCUCCUCCCUCUU